rnacentral:rRNA from 1 species
GACGAACGCUGGCGGCGUGCCUAAUACAUGCAAGUAGAACGCACAGUUUAUACCGUAGCUUGCUACACCAUAGACUGUGAGUUGCGAACGGGUGAGUAACGCGUAGGUAACCUGCCUGGUAGCGGGGGAUAACUAUUGGAAACGAUAGCUAAUACCGCAUAAUAUUAAUUAUUGCAUGAUAAUUAAUUGAAAGGUGCAAUUGCACCACUACCAGAUGGACCUGCGUUGUAUUAGCUAGUAGGUGAGGUAACGGCUCACCUAGGCGACGAUACAUAGCCGACCUGAGAGGGUGAUCGGCCACACUGGGACUGAGACACGGCCCAGACUCCUACGGGAGGCAGCAGUAGGGAAUCUUCGGCAAUGGACGAAAGUCUGACCGAGCAACGCCGCGUGAGUGAAGAAGGUUUUCGGAUCGUAAAGCUCUGUUGUAAGAGAAGAACGGGUGUGAGAGUGGAAAGUCACAACU